GUUUAAAUAACUUAAUGAGAGUAUUAUAUUGAAGUUGUAAUUGUGAUUUUUUAUCUUUAGACA
rnacentral:tRNA from 1 species